UGCCAGCAGCCGCGGUAAUACGGAGGAUGCAAGCGUUAUCCGGAAUCAUUGGGUUUAAAGGGUACGUAGGCGGAUUAAUAAGUCAGAGGUGAAAUCCUACAGCUCAACUGUAGAACUGCCUUUGAUACUGUUAGUCUUGAGUUAUUGUGAAGUGGUUAGAAUAUGUAGUGUAGCGGUGAAAUGCAUAGAGAUUACAUAGAAUACCAAUUGCGAAGGCAGAUCACUAACAAUAUACUGACGCUGAUGGACGAAAGCGUGGGGAGCGAACAGGAUUAGAUA
rnacentral:rRNA from 1 species